UAGACUUUGAGAAUGCCGAGCAUGAAGUAGGCUUUCUUCUCUAGGAGGCUAAAACAGUUGGCACAAAUCAGGAGCCUAUCAACAGGUACUGGUGCAGAGGUGGCAGGAGAUCAGUCCUCACGUUGGCAGGAGAGCGGCCCUGGAAGCCUUGCCGCAUCGUGUCCCCCUGAAUCUUCACCACGGAGCAGUCCAAGAACAACCCCGCCUCCUAGUGCGAGAGACAGAUACAGUCUGCUGCACAUCCUGGACAUUGCAAAAUCCAUCCCCUGGCUGCGAGAUGGGCCAGCUACACUUCCAGCACCUUAUUCACCCUGAAAAGCAUUUGCAGCUGGAACUCGUAGAGUUACAACAGUCUGGAGACAGCCUGGCGUUUCAGCUGUACUUCAACAGCAGCAGAAAUCUUAGAGCACCUC